rnacentral:tRNA from 1 species
UUUUUUGAAGUGUUUCACAUUAUCUUUUCAUGAUAAAAAGGUAUAAAAAUU